UGAAGAGUGUCUGAAAAAAAGAAUCAUUUUGAUGGAAUGAAGAAUGUGGAUCCCACCUCUUCAA
rnacentral:tRNA from 1 species